ensembl:antisense 4930430O22Rik RIKEN cDNA 4930430O22 gene
CGGCCGCUGACGGCUUCUCCUGGGGCCCGGUUGCCACGGCAACGCCGGCCCCGGGGGCAGGCGGCCUCCAAUCACAGCUGCUGGAUCAGAUUAGUGCGGGCUCUAAUGCUCGGUGCUCAGACACAAAGACACCCCGCCGGAGCCGAGCCGGGGCCUGCAGCUUCCCAGGAGCGCCCUUCCCUCUGGGGCCCAGGCUCUGCCUGCCCUGAGUCUUGGACCCAGAUCCCCAAGGAGGCGCCUGAGCCAAGGCCUCUGGCCUCAACACGUCAGCAUCCUCUGGCCUGCAGACCCCCCACCCAGCCACGGCUCACUGCCUAUCUCCCAAGCCUGGUCCAGCUUGGCCUGAUGGGGAAUUCACAUCCCAAGACAGAGUGGGCACGGGACCCAGACCACCUGAAACACUCAGGCGGGCAUUCAUUCCUCCUUCAUCCUCACUCCAGACAGACCCCGUGAAUCCUUGGGGGUAUUCACAGCUUGCUUUUGCUUGGAUGCCUUUAUUGUCUGGGCGGCACCACACCCACCUCUCUUUCACAGACUACCCUCUCCCAAGGCCCAGAAAUUAAAUCUUGACACACCCAA